rnacentral:lncRNA from 1 species
GAAAAGAUUUGGUCAACACUUCAUUGGGAACGGGAGGCGUUGUGUCAAAUAGAGUACCGAUUGAAUCCGAAACGCCAGGAUUUUGAGCAUUGAAAAUAGGUAUAAAGGUGGCCGGCUCGUUUCCAACAUUUAGUUGGAAGUGAACCAGUGCUCUAGGAAUUAAGAACACCUUCCCGGGAGUCAAGACCUUUGAGAAAAAGGUAUUAUUAGUUGUUACUAAACCUACGAGCACCGUUCCUCUGGUAACAAUACCAGCCUCAGUUCCACGAGGAUGUGUAUGAGGCGGGUUUAUUCCGCCGACAUCCAAGUCAAUUCGGAAGAGUGCAACUCCUUGAGUAUUGACCGCCGGAAAGCCAAAAACAUCACCAAAUGUGACUGCACGCUUAAAGACGUCAAAUGUGGUCGGAUCUUUAGAAAAGUCCGUGAAGAAAUCAUCGGAAGUUACGUUCGAAGCAGGUUUGCAGGGGAAACCAUUGAUAGAGAUGGUGGCAUUCAAAUCCGCAAUACAGACGUCUUGUAAAGGGUCAGGGUCACUUGCACGGGAAGGGAAAGGGCGCAUCAGUAAUACUAUCAGGCCGCAUAGCAGCCCAAAGAGUGACAUUGAGGAAGAAGAUAUCAUGGCUGUGGUUAAAAUCUGAAAUUACACAAUUGUUAGCUGCAGGCUUUUUAGUUGUGGGAUUUAAAGGAGAGACUAUGGAUCUAUUUAUACUACUCCGAAUCUCAAAUAGUGAUUAACAUUAAUCUGAAUUUAGUAAAAUACUAAUGCCACUUAGAAUUGGCGAUCGAUGAGGUUAAUCGUUGACUUUCUGAAUUUUGGAUAGCGUGUACAGAUUAUUUAAAGCGGUACGUGAUAUCGCAAGCAAUUGCAACCGGGAAAGAAAUUGAACCAAAACGAAUGUCUCAUUGUUUUGGCUUACUGACAGAGGGACAGCUAAUGUCCAUGGUUAAGUAGUUUAAUUUUCAUUACUUCGAAAAACCAAAAAAAAAAUAAAUUUUAAAGGUAGAAUAGAGUACUUUGUCAGUAUAAUUAUGAACAGGAAUCGUUCAUUGUUGGUUAAAGAGUUUUGAUUUGCUUCAGUAAUGAGAUGUGAAGUAGUCGAUGAAUAUCAGGUAAUUUCAAGGUCAUCAAGAAUUGACGCUAAACCUUCUGGGCGCGUACACUCAAUGACCACGUCCACCAAUUGUCAACAGCAGGGUAGUUUGAUAGCCAAUUCCAUUAAGUGUCAGCAGACUAUCUUAAUACUGAGUUAUCUUAAUUAACUAUGAAAUGGCCAUUGAUGUGGAGAUGGAGCUAUUCAUCCCCCCCAGACGGGUACCCUUUCCUUAAUUCCUUCUGAUUACGUGUAUAUCCUCAUACAAUUUUAAAACACAUUCCAGAAUCAUAACAAUGUUAAUUUAAUGCUUGCGUACGUACUUAACAUAGUCAUUGACGGCAUAACCGGAUGCACCAAUCAUUAAUCAUUUAGUAAUUCAGAAAAGUAACAAACAAACGAUCUUACCGCGAAACAAGUGGAAUUAUUCAGACGUGCAAGCAAUAUUUUGCGGUACAAAAUAAUUUGCGAUCAACUCCAAUUUUCCACCUUCACCAUAACAUCAAUUUCUUGAAGCUAUUCCAAAAUGCAUACAUAUUCGGUAGCACAAACCUUGCUUGUUAAACAUUAAACAGUGGAUGUGUAAUGUAAUCCUAUUGACAACUUAUUGGCCAAGCGUUCGAACUUUGAAAUGUCUUAAUGAUUCUGUUUGCAAGAAUAUAUGUUUGGUUUUUAAAUUCAGUGUCAAGGUUGCAUCCUCUGUAGUUAAUUUUUGAGUUAAUUAAUUUAGAUGAGAAGAAGAUGGAAUCCUUUUUAUUAAAGUAGAAAAACAAGAUGGAGUAAUCAUCAAAACUCAUCUACAGAACUAAUUACGAUAGACACUAAGGGACAUUUUGAAAUUUCUAGUGCUUGUAAUAUAAUUUGCUUCUAUUGAGCUGAUAAAUUUGAGGUAUGCGGUGCAUGCUCAAUAGCCUGAUCGAGUGGUCUUAAAGUAAUUUUAUUUAAUUAGCCACUCGUGUUCAAAUUUUAAGAGAGGUAUGAAUCUAAAAAAUAAAUUUGAGUUUUAAGCAUACCCUUAUCAGUUCCUUUAUUAUUAUUAUUAUUUUAUAAAAAUAGUUAGAUGUUGAGCAGAACUAUUGGUUUUGGAUUGAUACCCCUCCAAAACCCUUUGAUAACCUGUUCUAUUUAUUUACAGAUUUAACCUCCAUUGAAAUUACAUUGAAAGACAAAAAUAUAUAUCUAAUUAAACUUACAUUUAACACGCCACUAUUUUAAAUUUUUGGAAAAUUAAAUAGUUAGAUGUUGAGCAGAACGAUUGGUUUUGGAUUGAUACCCCUCCAAAACCCUUUGAUAACCUCUUCUAUUUAUUUACAGAUUUAACCUCCAUUGAAAUUACAUUGAAAGACAAAAAUAUAUAUCUAAUUAAACUUACAUUUAACACGCCACUAUUUUAAAUUUUUGGAAAAUUAUUUACACCCACAUAUCACAUGUGUUAUAUGCUAUUUAGCAACUUUUAUUUUUUCCUCUCUUGAUCAGUGUAUAUAUAUGUAUGUGUAUAUAAAUUUUUAAACCACCAUAAAAAAAAAUCGAUAGCCCCAUUAUUCUUAUUCCAUAUCAAAUUUAUAAUAGAGGCUAUGGCGUAUAUGUGCAAUCAUCAAUGUAAUUAUGCUAAGAAAGACCAAUGGCAUAUUAAACAAACAGUUUUUUGAAUGAUCUGCUUAUGCGCUGAAAAUGAUUGGAAACUAAAAUUCAUUAAUAGAAAAUUUUAAGUAAAACAUUUUGGCAACAGAAAUUUUUUUUUUCUAAUCUCAUUAAUGACCCAUCUAUUUCCUUUCUACUGUUUAGGGAUGGCAAUGGGGAGGGGAGGUGACCGACAUCCCUAUAAUCAUACCCGAUAUUUUGUAUAUGUCUCCAUCCCUUCCCCGUCUCUGUCAAAAUUGCUUGAAUGAGGGGAUGAGGAUCCCCAAAUCAUAACAGGGGAUCUUGGAGAAUCUUCGAUCCUCAAAUAAUUGAUACGUUUUUAGUUUCCGAGUUCGAUUUAAUCAUAUUAAAAUACGUAACGUAAAUAAAAUUUGGUAAUAUAUCUUACAUUAACAUUAAUCCAUUACAAAAGUCACACUCCAAAAUACAAAUCAUCAAAAUCAUUAUCUUCGUCAAUCUUUAUAAUCCUAUAACAAAAAAAAAAAAAAAAGUUACUUCUAUAUCAAUAAUGAAGUAAAUGAAAAGGAUAUAGGUGUUUAAAUUAAUGAGAUGACGAUGCGACAUGUUACUAGGCUAUAAUGAGAUAAGGAGUAGUUAGCUGCUGGCUGAGGCAUGAAAAUUUUGGAAAGAAUGAGUGAGACCGUGAGAGAGUGGCUCACAAUUUGAUUUUUGAAUUGUGGGCUUGUGGGAUUGUCAAAUUUGUGCUAUGUUUAAUUCUAAAUUAUAGCAAAAUAUUUUAAAUUAUUAACUAAUAAUUAUAUUAUUUGUAUAAAUAUUUUUAUAUUUGUUAUUUACAAGAUCUGAUUAAAAAAUCACAAUGUCAUUUUUUUGUUCUUGAAUUGAAUGAGCUUCCACCUAAACUGCUCAAGAAAAGCCCAAAACCAAUCCCAGGAAACAAUGAAGCUUUAUCGAAUUUUUUAAUUUAAUCUAUUACCAAAUAGAUUCUUUUCUCCCAUUCUAGUUAUAUUCUAUGUGACCAAAUCACUUGCACUAUAAUAUUGCUCAAAUUGAAAUGAAUCGAAAUUGGCACGGAGUUGCUUAAUGAUGCUUAAGCAUGGAGUUGUUUUGAGUGCCUACUUAUUUUCGAUUGGUAUCUAUGUCUUGAUUACUAGCUAAAAUAUGGUUUGGGCCCUGAUAUGUCUUGCAUCCAUUAGUUUGUAAGGGAUUCAAUGCAGACUUUGAUGCGGAUCAAAUGGCUGUUCGUGUACCCUUAUCUUUGGAGGCUCAAGAACCAAAGUUGGUUGGUGUGAGUGGUUCGGCACUCUCACUCCUUAAGAGAGGUCAGGGGUUCAAGCCCCGCUCUCGUAUGGAGUCACCACUUUGGCAAGCACUUUACCCCUUAUGGGCCGACCCGGUGCGAGCGGGGAUUAUUCUGGGUUGUGGUACGGGCUUAAAGGUGCCUCCCACAGUUGGGGCCCACUCAGGACCACCUCGUGGUUCAGACCAAAAAAAAAAUCUUUGGAGGCUCAAGCAUCUGCUCAUUUACUUACAUUUUCUCACGGAAUCAUGCACCCUUUUCCCUUUGGUCCUAGUUAUAACGAAGAAAAGUGCACCUAGUUUGGAAAGUGCACCUAGUUGGGUCCAGCUAUUCUUGAAAUGAAAAUGUUUAGAAUUUUACAAUUUAAAUUUUAUUAUUUAUUAAUUAAUAAUUCUAAAAAAAUUAAAAUUAAAAGGUAAAAUGGGGAAACGGGGAAAUGGGGAGGGGAUGAGAUUCUACCUCAUCCCCGUUCCUUCUCCAAAUAAUAAAUUAGGUAAAAAAAUCAUCUAUGUCCCUUCUUCAAAUAAAAAAUUGGGUAUAAGGUCGUCCUCCUACCCUUCUCAAAUGGGGAAAAUCCUCAGGGCUCUGUCCCCAUGAGAAUUUUUGUCAUCCUUGCUACUGUCUUCUUUUAAAAUGUAAUCUCUUACAUUCUUUCAAAAGCUGCUUCCAAAUGAAAGCUGCUGCCGAAUAAGGAAAAAAAAUUUUAAAAAUUUAUCAAACACUAUUUGCUAUUCUUAUAGUGUUUUGACCACAGCAUGUGCCUGUCAAAGGUUCUGUUUGCUAUUGCUAUUGUUGUAAAGUAAAGGCUCCAGUUAUGAGAUAAAAAAUUGACAAUAUAUGAUAAAUAUGACUUUUUAAUAAUUAUCCUGAGAAAAGUAAAAAAACAUAUUAAAAAUUUUUCAUCAAAUACAUUGAGGUGAAAUCACAUUAACUUUCAAACCAUAAAUAUAAAUCUUUACCAAACAUCAAAAGCCACAGCUGCCCAACAAUGGUUCCAAACGAAGCCUAAGGCAGCUGGGCAAAUGGAAAUGGGAUAUAAGAGUAUCUGAAUCAAGUGGUUGAGCUCUGCAUGUGCGGCAUGUAUAAGAAGAUGCAGCCUAGCAGCGCUAAAUUAUGUCCAGUAUAACAAUCUGGAUAACGGAAUUCAUCCUUAUCCGACGGCCAUCUUACACCUUAGGAAAAAGUACUUAUUAUCAAAGGUAUAUUUUGUCGGUGAUAUAACUGUUUGUUGUAGUAGAUUGAACGAACUUGACUUCAAACGGCCUAAUCUUUGCACUGAAAGCGCAGUUUACAACCAGGUCUGGAUUCUUCAAUGAGGUUUCAGUACCUGUAAUUUCAAGGUCGUGGAAAUUGAAAUCUGAUUGCAGCUAGUAGCUUACUGAGAUUUUAUCAUCGGACUUAUCCAAUUCACGACGAUCGAUUGAUUACCCAAUUAAUUAAUUGGAUCUUCAGGAACUUAUGAUCAGCGUAACACAUCUUAUUUGUCUUUCGGGAAGGUGCGGACUCAUUCCUGGAGCUAAAGGUUAUUGGCUGGCUAGCAGCCAUGAGCCAUUUCCGAUAACUGAAAGCUUCAAGUUUUCAUUCAUUCCAUGCCCUGGUGCACCCAGUUUUCAUUAACAGAGAACGAAUAAGAGACCCAAUGCUUGUAGGGCAUCACAAAAGCCUUCUAAUUUUACUCUCUUGAUGCCUAUUUCUUAAGUUACGUGGUAAGUUAAAGAGUAAAAAAAAAAAAAUUUCUCAAAAGACUCUUCAAAUAGAAACAAAUUUAUAUUAUUUUAGUCAAAUUAUUCUCUAACUAUAUUAAACUAGCUUCCAUUUUUCAACCAUAUAGUUAUAGUACUGCUCUCACUUUAGUAAUGAUGAUAUAAAAAUUAGUAUAAUAUAUUUGAAGAGGAGAAGUCACUCUUUAAUACUGAAAAGAGAAAGGGGCAAUUUUAUUAGAGAGCUCUUUGAAACUCUUAUUACUAAUGUAACUCUUUAAAUAAGAUGUAAAUAUCUCAUUUAAAGCAUUAAUGAUGCUCUUAUAUUCUAAAACUAGUAGAAUAAUUGAUUUAUAAUUGAUGUAAAUAUAUCAUUUAAUGCCUUUUCUUUUCCUUUUAUUAUUUUUUCCAGCUAGCUCUAUUUUCUUUUUGUNNNNNNNNNNNNNNNNNNNNNNNNNNNNNNNNNNNNNNNNNNNNNNNNNNNNNNNNNNNNNNNNNNNNNNNNNNNNNNNNNNNNNNNNNNNNNNNNNNNNNNNNNNNNNCAGCAGGGCGUAAACAACUAUGUUUUAAAUGCAGUUGGAAAAUUGCUUCAAUGGGUAGAAAUGUUUUUUUACAUAUAUAAACAACAUCAAGGGCAAAUUGAUAUUUAACAAAGAUUUAUUAACAGAUUUUAUUUGAAUUCACCAAAAAGUGAUUGAUUGAUAAAAGUUACAAAAAAAAGAUAGUUUAGUUUUAACAGUUAGUGGUUACAUGUAUGUAUUUUAUACAUCUUAUUGAAUAAGUGUGCCUGAUGGUGUCAAGAGUAACAUAUUGUAAUUAAUUUAAUUCGAUCAAAUUGUUCCUAAUAUUAACUCACACAUUCAUGAUCUAACAUAUAUUUUGAAUAAAAAGAAAUUUAGAAAAAAAAACAGUAGAUCAUUUCUUUAUUCUAUAAUUAUUGGUUGUCUCAGCUUUAUUCUUUAUUUAAUAAUUAGUACACACAACAGAUCUCUUCCAUUCGUUGUGAGACAUAAAGGAUAUCGAUCGAACAUCGAGGAUGUUAAUCUAGCUUGAUUGAGCUCGGGCUGCUCUGAUGGCAUUGAUCACAUCAUCACCCACUCGGAAAGAUUUGGUCAACACUUCAUUGGGAACGGGAGGCGUUGCGUCAAAUAUAGUACUGAUUGAAUCCGAAACGCCAGGAUUUUGAGUAUUGAAAAUAGGUAUAAAGGUGGCCGGCUCGUUUCCAACAUUUAGUUGGAAGUGAACCAGUGCUCUAGGAAUUAAGAACACCAUCCCGGGAGUCAAGACCUUUGAGAAAAAGGUAUUAUUAGUUGUUACUAAACCUACGAGCAACGUUCCUCUGGUAACAAUACCAGCCUCAGUUCCACGAGGAUGCGUAUGAGGCGGGUUUAUUCCGCCGACAUCCAA